rnacentral:rRNA from 1 species
AGGCUGCAACCCGCCUGUAUGAAGUUGGAAUCGCUAGUAAUCGCGGAUCAGCAUGCCGCGGUGAAUACGUUCCCGGGCCUUGUACACACCGCCCGUCACACCAUGAGAGUCGGGAACACCCGAAGUCCGUAGUCUAACUUUCACGAGAGGACGCGGCCGAAGGUGGGUUCGAUAAUUGGGGUGAAGUCGUAACAAGGUAUC